rnacentral:rRNA from 1 species
GUGGGGGACAACGUUUCGAAAGGAACGCUAAUACCGCAUACGUCCUACGGGAGAAAGCAGGGGACCUUCGGGCCUUGCGCUAUCAGAUGAGCCUAGGUCGGAUUAGCUAGUUGGUGGGGUAAUGGCUCACCAAGGCGACGAUCCGUAACUGGUCUGAGAGGAUGAUCAGUCACACUGGAACUGAGACACGGUCCAGACUCCUACGGGAGGCAGCAGUGGGGAAUAUUGGACAAUGGGCGAAAGCCUGAUCCAGCCAUGCCGCGUGUGUGAAGAAGGUCUUCGGAUUGUAAAGCACUUUAAGUUGGGAGGAAGGGCAGUAAGCUAAUACCUUGCUGUUUUGACGUUACCGAC